CUCGUGGAACGUCAGUUCGGGCGAAAAAAAACUUGAAUUUUGCGGACACGACCACGUGGUCGAAUGUGUGGCCUUUGCGCCAGUAGCUUCGCUUCCGCACAUCUCAACACUUUUUUGUAGUGAAAAUAAAGAGGCCUAUAAACUUAACGGCAGUAUAUUUGCAACCGGUUCCAGAGAUAAGUUAAUAAAGUUGUGGGAGCUUUCUUCUGGCCAUUGCGUAGCCACUUUGACAGGGCAUGAUAACUGGGUGAGAGGAUUAUGCUUUCAUCCACUUGGAAAGCUCCUUUUUUCCGUCGCAGACGAUAAGACAUUGCGCUUGUGGGAUCUUGAAACUGGCAGAAACGUUAAAGCCAUCGUUGCACAUUCCCACUUUGUUACUUCAGUAGAUAUACAUAAGAAAUUUCCAGUGAUAGUCACUGGAAGUGUAGACCUAUCUACUAAAAU